rnacentral:snRNA from 1 species
GGCUAUGAGGGCAAUCUGGCUGCGACAUCUGUCACCCUAUUGAUCGCCAGGGUUGAUUCGGCUGAUCUGGCUGGCUAGAUGUGUGUCCCCUUCCUCCCUCACUGCUCCAUGUGCGUCCCUCCCGAAGCUGCGCACUCCAUCGAAGAGGACGACCAUCCCCGAUAGAGGAGGACCAUUCUUCGGUCAAGGGUAUACGAGUAGCUGCGCUCCCCUGCUAGAACCUCCAAACAAGCUCUCAAAUAGUAAUUGUAAUCUAGUGACUAGUGUGGGGAUAGACCUGUUACUCUUGAGUUUUUCAGCUAAACCACCAAAUUAUCUUAGAGA